rnacentral:rRNA from 1 species
AGAGAGAGACAUGCGCGCAUAUCAAUAAGCGGAGGAAAAGAAACUAACAAGGAUUCCCUUAGUAACGGCGAGUGAAGCGGGAAGAGCUCAAAUUUGAAAUCUUCAAGGUUCUACCUUGACGAAUUGUAGUUUAAAGAAGUGUUUUCUGUUGGAAGUUUUGGUAAAAGUUCUUUGGAAUAGGACAUCAUAGAGGGUGAGAAUCCCGUAUUUGACCAUUAUUUUCAGCUUUGUGAUACACUUUCAAAGAGUCGGAUUGUUUGGGAAUGCAGUCCAAAAUGGGUGGUAAAUUUCAUCUAAAGCUAAAUAUUGGCGAGAGACCGAUAGCGAACAAGUACCGUGAGGGAAAGAUGAAAAGAACUUUGAAAAGAGAGUUAAACAGUACGUGAAAUUGUCAAAAGGGAAGCGUUUGACACCAGUGUUGUUUUCUCGAAAAUCAAUUAAAAAUGGCUCGAUUUUGUAUUGCUUGAGACCUUAAAAGCUCACUGUACAUUUUUCGUGUCUUUUUUAAUGCACUUUUCGUUUAACAAGUCAACAUCAGUUUCUUUUGUUGUAAAAGGGUCAUUGGAAGGUGGCUUUCUUUUCGGAGAAAGUGUUUAUAGCCUUUGGCCUCUGCAAUCGGAGAGACUGAGGUCUGCAGCGUAGACUCUUCGGGGUUAGAUACAUUUGUGCUAAGUUAUAGCUUUUUAUAGACAACUUGUUGACUAUAAUUAGUCUUGUAGCUUACUCACUUAUGCUAUUUUACCUACGCUUAGGAUGUUGAGUCGUAGAGCACGCAG